rnacentral:lncRNA from 1 species
GGGCUCGAGACGGUGCUGUACCUCAGCGUGGGCCGCCGGCAGGCAGGCAGGCAGGUCCUCUCUGGGGAAGGCCGGGCUGAGGGGCACCAUUCAUUCUUCAGCAGGGCCGUCGGGGCAGCUCCUCGGCGGGGGCGGCUCGCUCGUCCCUCUGGGAGAAAGGUCCAACAGAGAGGCCCGUCAGGGCCCUUGCUCCUCAGGCAGGCCUCCCUCACAGACACUCCCGUCCCGCGGGGAGGACCUCGGGGCGCGGGGACCGUCCUUCGCAGUCCUUCGCAGUGCCCACCAAGAGAUACCUGCCGGGGCUUCCCGGACCGCCUCCUGCAGCGCCGCGGCUCGCCCGCCCGCUCGCCCGCUCGCCCGCUCGCCCGCCCGCCCGCAUUGCCAUGGCGACCGCGGCCUCCGCGCGGCGUGGUGACGUCAGCACGCCCUCCCCGGGCGCCCCGGCUGGCGAGGCCGCGUCACCCGGCGGCGGCCCGCAGUGAGGGAAGCGGGGCGGAGCUCCGAGGCUCGCCCGACGCGACUCGGCGGCCUGGGCUCCGGGGCCCGGGAACCGGGAUAAGCGGGCCGGCCGCCGCGGCGGAGGGGGGCGGGCUGGAGCGUGGCCCCGCGCUGGUCAUCCGGGUUCCGGGGCCCGGCGGAGGCCGCGCCGGGAGCGAGCGGGAAGUGCGGCCGCCCUGGAACCUGGAUAUCGCGCGAGGCAAGCCGCGCGCGGGCGGGCGGGCUAUGGCGCAGGCGGGUUGCGGGGCCGGCGCUGGUGGCGGGGCCCGGUGCAUGGCGGUCUGUCGGCGGAGUCGCCCUCGGGGGCUGUCAGACCUUCCCGGUGACCCCCGGUUCAUUGACUGCUGGCCCCAGCCCUGCCUCUGGAGCCACCGGCCUCAGCCCCGAUGGGACAGUCCUCCGAGACCCCCGCAGCCCCUCGGGACCCCCAAACCACCCUCCCCUGGCUCCUGCACCCGCCCAGCCACACGACUCGCUCACAGGGCACCCUCGCCCUGUAACGCCGGGGUCAUCUUCGCCCCCACCGACGCCCCUCUUGGGCCCCCGGCGUCAAACCGCGCGUAA